rnacentral:lncRNA from 1 species
GUCGAUGUCGGAGUUGCGGCAGGUGAAGGUGGUGUUGGCGAGCUGGGGGCAGGAGAUUGUGUUGGUGCAAUGGGUGCAGGAGGAGUAGCAGGCAUUUCUGGAGGUGAUGACUCAGGUGCAGUUGCUGGGGUUGGUGGGCUUGAUCCUGGACUCAUUGUCGGGACCAGUGUUGGUGGGCUUGCUGUUGGGGUAGCUGAGUAAGGAGGAGACGCUGUUGGUUGGGGUGGCAAUGGAGUGGCGGCAGGGGGAGGUGUCACUGGGGAGGAAGGCGGGGUUGCGGAACUUGUAGGUGGCAUAGCAGUAGUUGUCGGAGGCAUUGUAGAGGCAGUUGGUGGAGAUGAUAUUGGGCCUUGAGCAAUGGAGGAGGAAGCUAUGAGACCCAAAAAGAGGGUUGUCAUGAGCAUGGCACGUGAGAGAGCCAUAUCUGUGUAUAGCUACUGAAGUGGUGCUCAAGAGGAAAAUUGGAAGAGAGGGAUGAUUUGUGGAGGCAGUUUGAGAGGAAAGACUACUGAGGUUAAUGAUAUAUAGGAAGAAGCUGAGGAAAGUUUGGAGAAUCGUACCGAUACAUGUAUGCUAACCUCCGAGUGCAUGGACAUUUCGUACUACUGAACUGUAA